rnacentral:rRNA from 1 species
AUGGCUCAGGAUUAACGCUGCGGCGUGCCAAUACAUGCAAGUCGAAUGGUAGUAGCAAUACAAACCAUGGCGAACGGGUGAGUAACACGUAGGUAACCUGCUUUAAGACGAGGAUAACCGUUGGAAACGACGGAUAAUACUGGAUAGGACAUUAUAUGGGGCAUCCUUAAAUGUUUAAAGAUUAUUAUGUCACUUAGGAGAGGGGCCUGCGGCGCAUUAGCUAGUUGGUGAGAUAACAGCCCACCAAGGCGAUGAUGCGUAGCCGGACUGAGAGGUUGAACGGCCACAAUGGGACUGAGAACGGCCCAUACUCCUACGGGAGGCAGCAGUAGGGAAUUUUCGGCAAUGGGCGCAAGCCUGACCGAGCAACGCCGCGUGAACGAAGAAGUUAUUCGUAAUGUAAAGUUCUUUUAUCUGGGAAGAAAAACAAUUGACGGUACCAGAUGAAUAAGCUCCGGCUAACUACGUGCCAGCCGCCGC